GGCCAGACUCCUACGGGAGGCAGCAGUGGGGAAUAUUGCACAAUGGGGGAAACCCUGAUGCAGCGACGCCGCGUGAGCGAGGAAGUAUUUCGGUAUGUAAAGCUCUGUCAGCAGGGAAGAAGAAUGACGGUACCUGAAGAAGAAGCACCGGCUAAAUACGUGCCAGCAGCCGCGGUAAUACGUAUGGUGCAAGCGUUAUCCGGAUUUACUGGGUGUAAAGGGAGCGCAGGCGGUUCUGCAAGUCUGAUGUGAAAGCCCGGGGCUCAACCGCGGGACUGCAUUGGAAACUGCGUCGCUGGAGUACGGGAGGGGCAGGCGGAAUUCCUGGUGUAGCGGUGAAAUGCGUAGAUAUCAGGAGGAACACCGGCGGCGAAGGCGGCCUGCUGGACCGUGACUGACGUUGAGGCUCGAGAGCGUGGGGAGCAAACAGGAUUAGAUACCCCAGUA
rnacentral:rRNA from 1 species